AUAUAUAUAUAUACACAAUACAUAUACUAUAUAAUAUAUAUAUACAGGAAGUAUAUUCCUGUCUGGGCCUCUGGCUCACAGUCCCAACACCAUGUCAUGCCAGGCUCUGUUCAGCAGUCAGGUAAGGUAAGGCCCAACAAGUAGUUCAAGGCACAAUCCACAAUCAGUUUCUUUUAAAGAGGAAAUGUAAGUUCUCUGACAUAAGACAUACAAUUUUUACUUAAAUUUAAAAGGCGGCAUUUUAUUUAAACGUCUGGAGAUACUUUGUUAUUUGCACUUAGAAAACACAUGUUCUCUAUAUUUUCAGAUUUCCUCUUUCAGUUUCUAAGAGGAUAAAAAUAUUAAAAUUAGUGAAGCUAGGUUCAGUGGGGAAGGGUUUUGUGCGUUGCUGGAUUUGACCUGUGGAGUUAGGCAUCUUUUUGCAGUAGCUGCUCUUGUUGUUUUGCUUUCAGCUCCUGAUUGUACCUCCAUAUUCGGAAGAGUUGGGAGCCACCAGCACAGCCAACGAAGAAGUUCACCGCAAACAGGCUCCAGUUUUUAGGAAUAAUAACUAGAGAGUACCUUGACCAAAUAAGGCCUGUGGCCAUUAACACUGCAGACUGUGCUGUGCUGAGCUUUUCUGCCGGUCUGGUCAUAUCAGCCAUUCCAGCGCAUACCAAACCCCAUUUCAUAAUAGGUGCCCAGAAGAAGACUGUCUUGGGACCGGCCGGGUGGUUGUAGAAGGGCCGGAACCGCGGCGGCAGCAUCAGCUCGAUGCGGUCGAGCAGGCGGUGGUAGGAGGCGCGCAGCCCCGUGACGGCGGCCGCCAUGUCGGCACAGCGAGAAGCUCCUCGGCGACCGGCGUGUCGGCGUACCGCUCGGUCGCACUGCCGGCGGCUCCGUUCCCCCCGCGACCCGCCGUCCUUCCGCCGCGCCCCGCCCCCGCCACCCUCGCGCCGGA
rnacentral:lncRNA from 1 species